rnacentral:rRNA from 1 species
UACGUAGGGGGCAAGCGUUAUUCGGAAUUAUUGGGCGUAAAGGGCGUGUAGGUGGUGCUGUAAGUCUGGCGUGAAAUUUUUCGGCUUAACCGGGAAAGGUCGUCGGAUACUGCAGGACUAGAGGACGGUAGAGGCGUGUGGAAUUCCGGGUGUAGUGGUGAAAUGCGUAGAGAUCCGGAGGAACACCAGUGGCGAAGGCGACACGCUGGGCCGUACCUGACACUGAGGCGCGAUAGCAUGGGGAGCAAACAGG